rnacentral:lncRNA from 1 species
GAUAAACAUGAAAACCAUAUAAAUAUGCUAAUACACUUACUACUCAUAUUGGCAGGAUGAAUGAACACACAAUACGCAUUAGAAUAGGGACUAAACAUUCUUUCACCUAUUGGUAGACAGAGUUCUGAAGUUUGCAAAGAUGAGGUUGUGGUUAGCUGUACAAGAACUGUGGGCUGUGACCAAGAGAUAGAAUAAGAAUGGGAUCCAAUUCAUGGCUCUGGCCUUUCUCACAUAAGACUCAGGCCAACCUCACUAAGACCCAAAAAGAGUUCAGGCAACAACAGCCAUCUCAGUGAGAUCCCAAUUUAGGAAAUUGAAGUUGGCCAAAUUAAAUUUUGCCAAAUAUAAACCAUUGGCCAUAAUGUUGUUCCAUCCCAGGCUCAAAACUUAAUGAGGUUGAAAUCUAUUAUACUGUUGCCAUGUUAUAAAAUAGUCAGGUGCUGGCAAAUCUAUGGCAAUGUUCUUUCUGGCCAGCCUGAAAGGAAAUGUGACUCAUCUUGUCUCUUUUUUUUUUCAUGGAGUGAUUUAUAUAAUGUCUUUUAUGUUGCUUGAAUGACAAUAUCAAAACACCAUUUUAAUAAUCCUAACACUGUUAUUAAUGUUAAAAUUUUAUUAAACAGAACUUUUCCUUCAUUAAGCUAAUCAUUGGAAGAUUUUUGGCUAUUAUUUUGAUGAUGAAUGAAUAAAAUAAAAUAAACAAAGAAAUGAUUAAUAAACAUUCUCACACACACACACAGAUAUACAAUCACUUAUUCUUACAUUUUUAAAGUAGCUGUUAUGCUCUGUAGCUCAAUAUGUACGGGUCAAAAGAUUAAAAACUUUACUUAUAAAUUUAUUUAUAUCUUGCCUAAUUAAGAAAAUUUGAGCUAGUUAAAAAUUUAGCAGAUUUCAAAAGAUGAAGUAUCUCUGGGUUAAAGCUUUUUUAACUGUUUACCUAAGCAAAAAGAAAGAAACAAGACCCGAUUUUUGUGUAAAAAUAAUACAAUGUAAAUUAAAAGUCAAAGGGAUUUAAAAUCUGUUGCAAGGUUACCCAACAUCAAUUCCCUGUAGAAGAAAUUCAAUAGAAGGAAAGCCAAAAGAAAAAUGAGAAAAAAAAGAUUGUAUGGUUAGCUUAGAAAAGCCCUGGCUAGCAUUACUCCUUGCUGAUUUGUGAAGAUAUAGUAAUUUUAUACUUUUUAAAAAGAUUACAACUUGAUUUUUAGGUAAUCCUUAAAACCAAAAUAUGUUUCCUACAGUAUUAAAAUCAAAUCAAAUUUUUUUAUGAUUAAAUUAAGUCUGACAUGAAGACAAUUAACAGAAGUAUAUUUAUAACAGCAUCCCAUUUUUAGAGAUGCCAUUGUUUAAAGAGACAUGCAAUCUGUUUUCAAAUCAUGCUAAUGCUUUUUUGGCCGUAGAACUCUUAAUAUUGACAUAUUACAUUCAUUUGUUCAUACUCACUUUAAUUUUUUCAGCAUACACAUUUUUAAGGUAUUCUUUUUCCUGAAAUUCUUUGAAAUUUUUUCUCCUUUACCCAUAACAAAAUGUUUUUAAGAGCCUGAGAUUAGUAUGACAGAAUAGAAAUUACAAAACUGUAUCAAAUGCAUGUCUUUACUCUCUUUUGAAAAAGCUCAUAUUUCUUUCAGAGGUGCUAGGUAUGAUGCAGGAGAUUCAUGGGUGAUGGCAUAAGAGAAAACCUGGAAUAAACUAAUUAUUGCCCUGACUUUAUAAAGAUGCUCACAUAAGCAAACCAAUCUAGUAUUUCAAAUUUAGGAGUUUAAAAGCACCAGAACAGAAGAAUAUUUCUCCACAGAUGACUAGUGAAGAAAUAAUUGUAAGAACAAAAACAAUGAGUAUGAUAUGUAUCAAUAGAGAAAUUGUUAAAUAUUUUAAGGCACAUCUUUGGUUGCUGGAUGUAGCGAGUCAGAAGAGACAGCCACGCUUCAAGCAGUCCAGUCAACGUUUUCAGUGGAACCAUAGCCCCAAAUGGCUGAUGCGUAAAACGACAUCACCCACAUCCACUGGUAGCUCUCCAAGGUGCUGAAAUAUAAGUGCUUCUGAUCGUUUCU